UACGAAGGGUGCAAGCGUUAAUCGGAAUUACUGGGUGUAAAGCGCGCGUAGGUGGUUCGUUAAGUUGGAUGUGAAAGCCCCGGGCUCAACCUGGGAACUGCAUCCAAAACUGGCGAGCUAGAGUAUGGCAGAGGGUGGUGGAAUUUCCUGUGUAGCGGUGAAAUGCGUAGAUAUAGGAAGGAACACCAGUGGCGAAGGCGACCACCUGGGCUAAUACUGACACUGAGGUGCGAAAGCGUGGGGAGCAAACAGG
rnacentral:rRNA from 1 species